rnacentral:rRNA from 1 species
GAUGACAGAAAAGCUACCCCGGGGAUAACUGAGUUGUCUGGAGCGAGAGUCCACAUCGACCUCCAGGCUUGCUACUUCGCUGUCGGCCCUUCCUAUCCUGGUUGUGCAUCAGCAGCCAAGGGUGGGGGUGUUCACCCAUUAAAAGGGAUCGCGAGCUGGGUUCAGAACGGCGCGAGCCAGUUUGGUUACUAUCUGCUAGAAGUGUGAGAACUGCCUGAGAGGAAGGCCCUAAUAGUACGAAAGGAACAUAGGACCGCGGCCUCUGGUGAACCUGUUGUCUAACAAGGCAAGCAGGGUAGCUACGCCGUAAAGGAUAAAGGCUGAUGGCAUCUAAGCCUGAAACCUAUCUCAAAAAGAGGCAGAGAGCUCCCGUAGAAGACGGGUUUGAUAGGAUGGGGAUGUAAGCAUGGUAACAUGUUUAGUCCACCAUUACUAAUCGCUCAAAAAAGCAAUUCUA